UAGAGAAUAGUACGCGGGCAGUGCGGGGGGUUUUGAGCCUCCAGGAAUAGGUUCAAGUCCUAUUUCUCUAA
rnacentral:tRNA from 1 species